AUUGAACGCUGGCGGCAGGCCUAACACAUGCAAGUCGAACGGCAGCACAGAAGAGCUUGCUCUUUGGGUGGCGAGUGGCGGACGGGUGAGUAAUGUCUGGGAAACUGCCCGAUGGAGGGGGAUAACUACUGGAAACGGUAGCUAAUACCGCAUAACGUCGCAAGACCAAAGUGGGGGACCUUCGGGCCUCACACCAUCGGAUGUGCCCAGAUGGGAUUAGCUAGUAGGUGGGGUAAUGGCUCACCUAGGCGACGAUCCCUAGCUAGUCUGAGGGGAUGACCAGCCACACUGGAACUGAGACACGGUCCAGACUCAUACGGGAGGCAGCAGUGGGGAAUAUUGCACAAUGGGCGCAAGCCUGAUGCAGCCAUGCCGCGUGUAUGAAGAAGGCCUUCGGGUUGUAAAGUACUUUCAGCGGGGAGGAAGGCGGUGAGGUUAAUAACCUCGCCGAUUGACGUUACCCGCAGAAGAAGCACCGGCUAACUCCGUGCCAGCAGCCGCCGUAA
rnacentral:rRNA from 1 species